rnacentral:rRNA from 1 species
CCUACGGGGGGCAGCAGUGAGGAAUAUUGGUCAAUGGACGAGAGUCUGAACCAGCCAAGUAGCGUGAAGGAUGACUGCCCUAUGGGUUGUAAACUUCUUUUAUAUGGGAAUAAAACGUUCCACGUGUGGGAUUUUGUAUGUACCAUAUGAAUAAGGAUCGGCUAACUCCGUGCCAGCAGCCGCGGUAAUACGGAGGAUCCGAGCGUUAUCCGGAUUUAUUGGGUUUAAAGGGAGCGUAGGUGGAUUGUUAAGUCAGUUGUGAAAGUUUGCGGCUCAACCGUAAAAUUGCAGUUGAAACUGGCAGUCUUGAGUACAGUAGAGGUAGGCGGAAUGCGUGGUGUAGCGGUGAAAUGCUUAGAUAUCACGAAGAACUCCGAUUGCGAAGGCAGUUCACUGGACUGCAACUGACACUGAGGCUCGAAAGUGUGGGUAUCAAACAGGAUUAGAUACCCGGGUAGUC